rfam:Schistosoma mansoni, Puerto Rico, WGS project CABG01000000 data, contig: 0199
AUCCAGCUGACGAGUCUCAAAUAGGACGAAAAGCGCGUCCUGGAU